rnacentral:rRNA from 1 species
UACGUAGGGUCCGAGCGUUGUCCGGAAUUAUUGGGCGUAAAGAGCUCGUAGGCGGUCUGUCACGUCGGCUGUGAAAACACGGGGCUCAACUCCGUGCCUGCAGUCGAUACGGGCAGACUAGAGUUCGGUAGGGGAGAACGGAAUUCCUGGUGUAGCGGUGAAAUGCUCAGAUAUCAGGAGGAACACCGGUGGCGAAGGCGGUUCUCUGGGCCGAUACUGACGCUGAGGAGCGAAAGCGUGGGGAGCGAACAGG